AUUGAACGCUGGCGGCAUGCUUUACACAUGCAAGUCGAACGGCAGCGCGGGCUUCGGCCUGGCGGCGAGUGGCGAACGGGUGAGUAAUGCAUCGGAACGUGCCCAGUAGGGGGGGAUAGCACGGCGAAAGCCGGAAUAAUACCGCAUAAGACCAGAGGGUGAAAGCGGGGGCCCGAAAGGCCGCGCGGUAUUGGAGCUGCCGAUGUGGGAUUGGCUAGUUGGUGGGGUAAAGGCUUACCGAGGCAACGAUCCGUAGCUGGUCUGAGAGGACGACCAGCCACACUGGGACUGAGACACGGCCCAGACUCCUACGGGAGGCAGCAGUGGGGAAUUUUGGACAAUGGGGGCAACCCUGAUCCAGCCAUGCCGCGUGCGGGAAGAAGGCCUUCGGGUUGUAAACCGCUUUUGUUCGGGAAGAAAUCCUCUCGGCUAAUACCCCGGGGUGAUGACGGUACCGGAAGAAUAAGCACCGGCUAACUACGUG
rnacentral:rRNA from 1 species